AAGAAGGAGAAAAAGAAGAAGCAGCAGUCGUCCAGCGAGAGCAGCGACGACUCCUCGUCCUCCUCGGACUCUUCUGAGGAAUCCGAGGCGUCUGACAAGGAGGACAAGAAGCACAAGAAGAAACAUAAGAAGGAGCAGAAGAAGAAGAAGAAGGAGCAGAAACAUAAGAAGAAAAAGGAAGGGGUCCGUAUGCGGCGUUUAUUUAUUCUCCUUUGGAGGAGUUAUUAAUGUAUUUAUUUAUUGAUUAAGCACGUCACACACAGAUUGAGUCAGCUUUAACGAUUACAAAGAUCCUCAGUGUUGUUCAGCCACAGGAGUCAUUCACUGAAGUUGUAUUUUAACUGCUCCUUCAUCUGUCUUUAGGUCCAAUGAUGAGGAAGAAGCCAAGGAGACGGAGCCUCAGCAGCCCGUUUCGUCGAUCCGUCCAGAGGAAGUCCCGCCCGUCCCGGAGAACCGCUUCCUGAUGAGACGCAGUCCACAGCCUCAGCCUAAAGAGGAGCAGGGGAAGGACAAACAGAAGGAGAAUUCUGGGAAAGAGCGGCAAAGGGAACGGGAGAGGGACAGAGAACGAGACCGAGAGAGAGACAGGGAGAGACCCACGAUGAACUCACGACCAAAUCGCACGCGUCUGGUGAUGACCCGAUCCGGCCGGAGCCAAACCUAAUACACAUACCACACAGGAGCGCUGGAUCAA
ensembl:lncRNA